rnacentral:rRNA from 1 species
GUGUCAGCCGCCGCGGUAAAACCAGCACCUCAAGUGGUCAGGAUGAUUAUUGGGCCUAAAGCAUCCGUAGCCGGCUCUGUAAGUUUUCGGUUAAAUCUGUACGCUCAACGUACAGGCUGCUGGGAAUACUGCAGAGCUAGGGAGUGGGAGAGAUAGACGGUACUCGGGAGGAAGUGGUAAAAUGCUUUGAUCUCUCGAUGACCACCUGUGGCGAAGGCGGUCUAUCAGAACACGUCCGACGGUGAGGGAUGAAAGCUGGGGGAGCAAACCGGAUUAGAUACCCGGGUAGUCCCAGCUGUAAACUAUGCAAACUCAAUGAUGCAUUGACUUAUGGUCAAUGCAGUGUUGCAGGGAAGCCGUUAAGUUUGCCGCCUGGGAAGUACGUACGCAAGUAUGAAACUUAAAGGAAUUGGCGGGGGAGCACCACAAGGGGUGAAGCCUGCGGUUCAAUUGGAGUCAACGCCAGAAAUCUUACCCGGAGAGACAGCAGAAUGAAGGUCAAGCUGAAGACUUUACCAGACAAGCUGAGAGGUGGUGCAUGGCCGUCGCCAGCUCGUGCCGUGAGAUGUCCUGUUAAGUCAGGUAACGAGCGAGAUCCCUGCCUCUAGUUGCCAUCAUUACUCUCAGGAGUAGUGAGGCGAAUUAGCGGGACCGCCGCAGUUAAUGCGGAGGAAGGAAGGGGCCACGGCAGGUCAGUAUGCCCCGAAACUCUGGGGCCACACGCGGGCUGCAAUGGUAACGACAAUGUGUUCCGAAUCCGAAAGGAAGAGGUAAUCCUCAAACGUUACCACAGUUAUGACUGAGGGCUGCAACUCGCCCUCACGAAUAUGGAAUCCCUAGUAACUGCGUGUCAUUAUCGCGCGGUGAAUACGUCCCUGCU